rnacentral:rRNA from 1 species
UGCUCCAGCCAUAUCACCCUGAACGCCCCCAAUCUUGUCUGAUCUCGGAAGCUAAGCAGGGUCGGGCCUGGUUAGUAGUUGGAUGGGAGACAAAAAAAAAAUUAAUGCCAGUAA